rnacentral:rRNA from 1 species
GUUAAGCGACUAAGCGUACACGGUGGAUGCCCUGGCAGUCAGAGGCGAUGAAGGACGUGCUAAUCUGCGAUAAGCGUCGGUAAGGUGAUAUGAACCGUUAUAACCGGCGAUUUCCGAAUGGGGAAACCCAGUGUGUUUCGACACACUAUCAUUAACUGAAUCCAUAGGUUAAUGAGGCGAACCGGGGGAACUGAAACAUCUAAGUACCCCGAGGAAAAGAAAUCAACCGAGAUU